UGGGGGUAGAGAGACUGAAUUGGCGUGGGGGUCCUUCCAGACUACCCAGCCUGACCAAACUCCGAAUACCAGUUUAACUAUCGCGGGAGUCAGUCCCUGAGGGAUAAGCUUCAGGGACGAGAGGGAAACAACCCAGACCAUCUGCUAAGGUCCCUAAAUGAUACUCAGUCACUAAGGAAGUGAAGUUGCAAUGACAGCCAGGAUGUUGGCUUAGAAGCAGC
rnacentral:rRNA from 13 species